GAAAAAGUAUGAAAAAGAAACUAUAUUAAAUCUUGAAAAUGCCAAGAAAAGACACAACAUGCUGAAAAUAAAAUAACCAGUGUUGCUAAUGAGAGCUUUCUAGUUCCCAAAUUUUGAAAGCAUUAAUGAACAUUUAAGUGGCUAAAAAAUUCUGAAAACUAUCAACCUUAUCUGUAUCAAACAACAUGUAGACAGUAUUACAAACUCAGGGGUUAUGGGCUUUUACCUGAAAACAAGUUGGAGGCCU